CAGGGAAAUACCAGUGGACAUGCACUGGCAUUAUGUAAACAUUGUCUUUUCAGAUUCCUUCUAUCACGAUCCACGAAGCAUACUUACUUAUUCGGGGAGCUGAAUGUUCUCUAGGCAAGCGGAAGUGUUUCCAAGCUGGCACUCAGAAAUAGCCUUUGAGUGGUGCCUGGGUGGCUCAGCUGGUUGAAAAUCCGACUUCGGCUCAGGUCACGGUCUCACAGUUCGUGGGUUCGAGCCCCGCGUGGGGAUCUGUGCUGACAGCUCGGAGCCUGGAGCCUGCUUCGGAUUCUGUGUCUCCCUCUCUCUCUCCGCCCCUCCCUGGCUCAUUCUCUGUCUCUGUCUCUCUGUCUCUCUCUUUCAAAGAUAAAUAAACAUUAAAAUUUUUUUUUUAAAAAAAACAGCCUUUGAAUGGGUACCAAAGUACGUUUCGUGUACCACCUACUUAUUCUCCAAUGUCUGCGAAUAACAUCUUCUUGCUUAUGAAAAUAAGGAUCUUUCGUUAUGUGGCAAAACUGGACAAGGCACACCUAAUAAUAUGGUUUUCUGAGCAGCUUACAGUUCCGUUUCAGGCUUUAUUUCUUCCUCACAUCGCAUUAUGCUGUUGGCUGGGAGAGCGGAACGAGGCAAGGGCAUUCCUCAGCAACGUGACAAUUUCUACGAAUGGGAAGCCCGAGUGGCAUUAAAAGUCUGCCUUUUCGGGUGACACCAAGUCAGCAUUUCCAGGAAGGACCUGCGUAUAACGCACGGAGUCUCUUACGGCCCCUGGUCGGUGCUUUGGUUCACCACUGGUCGGCUCUGGCACAUGCCCAUCGGCAUCAAGGAGAUCGGUGUGGAUGGGUGUGAAGCAGAAAGCAGGUGGAAAUAUUCCCAGACCGCCGCCCUGUCCCUCGGAAUGAAUUCUGCUUGGAUCUAACAAUGGCAAGCCUUGCUCCUCUUGGGUAAGUGUUUGGUCCCCAAAAGCUCUUUCACAGUCAAGAAAAUGUGAUAAAACCGAUGUGUCUGAGAAUAACAGGUAAGUGAGAGGCACCGUUCACCUGUGCUUCAGGAUGAUGCGUGUCCCAGGCCCCAGGGUUCGACUGAUGGGUUAGGAGCAGAAGAAAGCGCACCCGAUACGUGCUCAGUCUGCCUCAACCAUAGACACCGUGGGUCUAUGGGGGAGAUUUUAGCAAGUUUUACUGAUUUGGUCGAAGUCUUCCACAAAUAGUCCGCACGUAUGGACAAGGACACUCAAAACACACAAACGUCUUUAUUAAAGAUUUUUAAAAAUAAGACCGUUAUCAUCUAAAGCCAUGUCCCAGUUUGAAUCUCUUAUGUCAUCUUCUUAAAAAUAAUACAACUCAGUUGAAUACAUUUGCUAAAAAUUUCACAAAUUCCACUUUUAAAUAUGGAGUAAAAGAAGUAAACAGGGGAGCCUGUGACCUUUCUACUAAAAGCACACUGUGAUGCUCUCAUAUGUGGCCAUUUUGGGGGCAGUGCAUUUGUAGUGGCUUAUGUUACCCAGAAUCUAAGGGAUAUUUGGAAGCUUGGUCUCUCCAGGGCCAUGACAUGUUGGAGCACUGAAUAAGUCUGUCCCAGACGGCAUCUCCCGGUGAGUUGCCUUUUAUAAAGCAGUCACGGAUUUCUCUCUUAGGGCUAUGGCAAUAUUUUAUGAUUCUUUAUCUCUCUCUUCAGGGUGUCUAACUC
ensembl:lncRNA